rnacentral:rRNA from 1 species
GAUGAACGCUGGCGGCGUGCCUAAUACAUGCAAGUCGAGCGAACGGACGAGAAGCUUGCUUCUCUGAUGUUAGCGGCGGACGGGUGAGUAACACGUGGAUAACCUACCUAUAAGACUGGGAUAACUUCGGGAAACCGGAGCUAAUACCGGAUAAUAUUUUGAACCGCAUGGUUCAAAAGUGAAAGACGGUCUUGCUGUCACUUAUAGAUGGAUCCGCGCUGCAUUAGCUAGUUGGUAAGGUAACGGCUUACCAAGGCAACGAUGCAUAGCCGACCUGAGAGGGUGAUCGGCCACACUGGAACUGAGACACGGUCCAGACUCCUACGGGAGGCAGCAGUAGGGAAUCUUCCGCAAUGGGCGAGAGCCUGACGGAGCAACGCCGCGUGAGUGAUGAAGGUCUUCGGGUCGUAAAACUCUGUUAUUAGGGAAGAACAUAUGUGUAAGUAACUGUGCACAUCUUGACGGUACCUAAUCAGAAAGCCACGGCUAACUACGUGCCAGCAGCCGCGGUAAUACGUAGGUGGCAAGCGUUAUCCGGAAUUAUUGGGCGUAAAGCGCGCGUAGGCGGUUUUUUAAGUCUGAUGUGAAAGCCCACGGCUCAACCGUGGAGGGUCAUUGGAAACUGGAAAACUUGAGUGCAGAAGAGGAAAGUGGAAUUCCAUGUGUAGCGGUGAAAUGCGCAGAGAUAUGGAGGAACACCAGUGGCGAAGGCGACUUUCUGGUCUGUAACUGACGCUGAUGUGCGAAAGCGUGGGGAUCAAACAGGAUUAGAUACCCUGGUAGUCCACGCCGUAAACGAUGAGUGCUAAGUGUUAGGGGGUUUCCGCCCCUUAGUGCUGCAGCUAACGCAUUAAGCACUCCGCCUGGGGAGUACGACCGCAAGGUUGAAACUCAAAGGAAUUGACGGGGACCCGCACAAGCGGUGGAGCAUGUGGUUUAAUUCGAAGCAACGCGAAGAACCUUACCAAAUCUUGACAUCCUUUGACAACUCUAGAGAUAGAGCCUUCCCCUUCGGGGGACAAAGUGACAGGUGGUGCAUGGUUGUCGUCAGCUCGUGUCGUGAGAUGUUGGGUUAAGUCCCGCAACGAGCGCAACCCUUAAGCUUAGUUGCCAUCAUUAAGUUGGGCACUCUAAGUUGACUGCCGGUGACAAACCGGAGGAAGGUGGGGAUGACGUCAAAUCAUCAUGCCCCUUAUGAUUUGGGCUACACACGUGCUACAAUGGACAAUACAAAGGGCAGCGAAACCGCGAGGUCAAGCAAAUCCCAUAAAGCUGUUCUCAGUUCGGAUUGUAGUCUGCAACUCGACUACACGAAGCUGGAAUCGCUAGUAAUCGUAGAUCAGCAUGCUACGGUGAAUACGUUCCCGGGUCU